ensembl:lncRNA
AAAUGUUGAAAUCUUCAAUUUCACAAAAUUUUUCUAUAUAUGUGAUUUGAAAGUGAGACAGAGUAGAAAACCUAAAAAGAACUAGCUUGCAAGAUAGAUACAUCUGCCUUAGGCAGAAAUAUUAAGCCCCUAAAGAAUAUAUGAGUAAGAACAGAGACUUAAAUUGCAUUACUUUUGCUAGGUGGAGCCUUACAGCUGCCCCUGAAAAGCACUUGCUGCCUUCCAUCAAGAGGCAGAACAGAGAGAGAGAGAGAAUUUGGCUCUGUCGUAGUAAUGCAGGGUGAGGGAUGCAGGACAGAGGAGUGUGGCAGAAGCACUAGGAUGAUAAUUUUUGCACAGCUAGAAAUGCAGUGAGUAACCUAGUCUGUAAUUUAUACAAUUUGUGUCUUCUCCUUCUGUCAUUGGUUCUUUUUCUUUACAUCUCACCUUAAAGAUACUGUCUUUUGUAUAUAACCUGGGAUGCCACCAGCAUCCAGAAAAGCUGUGAUAUGGUCUGUACUUAAACAAGAAAAUGUCUUCAAAGCAGAAUGGGAAGUGAUGGACAGUUCAGAUUCUCAAAGAGACAAGACUUGCUUGGAUUUGUUCUACUUCACUUUUCUCUUCGUUGUCUGCAGAAAGAUCCUAGUGUGACUUGGAUGCUUGGAUGUAAAUGAAUAUCUUGCAGCAGUUACACAAAACUGAUGCGGUAACAACAACCCAGAGCCUGCUCUGCCAACAGCCCAUCUCCUUCUCCAAAGCUUCACCACCCAUGUGGGCCCUGACCUUUGACGUCUGCAGAUGGACCUCGCGCUCCUCAGCUCACACCUGUUGGUAGCCAGAGCCAACAAGAGUCAGGAGCAGCACCAGAAGAUCUCUUGGGAUGAGGAUGAUAUGGUGUUCCUUCUAAAAUCCUACCAGCUUUACAACUGUAGUAGCUCCAUGAUCAAGAAGAGCAGCUUGGAAAAUCUCUCCUCCAGAACAUACUUAUGAUUAGUAUCUGCAUUUUGCAUUGCCAGGUCUCCCAGCUUAUGCCACCAACUGGCUACAGCCACCCAAAGGGCAGAGAUUGGAGGAGGCACUGUGGUGAAUUUUUAAUUUGUUGUGGAUGCAGAAGACAAGAGUUGGAACUGCUGUUCUGGAGAAGAUCUGUUAGCCAGAGCCCAACUAGGAACCAGAAGGAACAUCACAGCCUGAGGCCCUACGCUGACAAGGGGAACAAAGCACUUCAUGCUUCUCCAAGCUCUUUCCUGGACUUGGUGUGAAACCCAAGACACCAUUCAUGGGAAAGAGCAGCAGAAAGUGGCAGGUCACACUGCAGAGCAGUGGCAGGUCUUGGUCUCCCAACUCUCCUAGCCUAUUGUUUGCUGUCAGGGCACAGAAGAAGCCUGAAACCACUGUACCAGCCAGGCUUGAGUAUAAUAUUUGAUGCAGUCUUAGAAAACUGAGCCACUGCAAUGUUCUGCUGUGAUUUUUUUGACAUUCUGCCUGUGCUACUGGAAGCACAGUGACAGCAGUCAUCCCCAGCUUCCUGGCUUGUCAUGAUAUGAAGAAAAAUCCUGCAGGCUGCCUUUCACUUGCUUUUCUGCCCUAGCAAGUCUGUGCCCCGGAAGGCAGACAAAUGAGUCUUGUCUCCCAGAUGUGUCCAUGUUUUUCCCAGAGAGCUCACAAGCCCUUCUAUUUCCCUUGUCUCAGUCUCUUCCAAGUAUCUUCCGUAGAUUUUUCAUUGAAACCUCUCCAUCAAAUAAUCUAUUUGUUUUCCCAAUAGUGGAGAAGCAGCUGAAGAACAAGAAAGCUUUAGGACAGGUGCACAGAGAAUCAAUAUGAACACAUAAAUAUCUACAUUGAGAGGAAACAAAACACGUAUGGGUUUGGUUUUGUUUGUUUGUUUUUGGGUUUGUUUGUUUUUGUUUUUGUUUGUCUUGAAAUAAGAAUGAAUAGAUUUAUUUACCACUGGUUUCAAGCUCUCACAAUGGAUUUAUCACCUGAAUUAAAAAUGCUGAAAAACUUCAAAAGAAUGUUUUUAUUGUUUUUGUCUCUAAAUAAAUGCAUAGCUGUGACUAUAACUUCAGCAAUGCCUUUGUAUAAACCCUGAAGAUACACAGCUGCCUGUUCUAGCCCCAAAAUAUUUUGUUUACAGUAGAAUGAAAUUUGUCAUGCAAAGAAAUCUUUACAUUUUUGUUUUGGCAUGUUUAUCAGUUAAAUUAACUUCUGACAAUAAACAUAAUCAUUCAUCUGUGGAAAAUGCCUACAUAAACUAAUGUACGAUAUCUUUAGGAGUAUUUAUAAUAUAUCUCCAGAGUGUUUCCGGGGUUUCUUGCCCCAGUUGAUCUUAUUUUGAGGUAUGCACUGGGGAGAUCUCACCUGGAGUACUGUGUCCAGGUGUGGAGUCUUCAGUGCAGGAGAGACAUGGACCUGUUGGAGUGUGCCCAGAGGAGGGCCACAAAAAUGAUUCAAGGGAUGGAACACCUCUCCUACAUGGACAGGCUGAGAGAGCUUGGGCUGUUCAGCCUGGAAAAGAGAAGGCUCCAGAAAAACCUGAUAGCAGCCUUUACGUAUUUAAAGGGGAGCAACAGGAAAAAAGGGGACAGACUCUUCAGCAGGGUCUGUUGCUACAGGACAAGGGGAAAUGGCUUCAAGAUCAAAGAGGGUAGAUUUAGGUUAGAUAUAAGGAAAAAGUAUUUUACAGUAAGGAUGGUGAGGCACUGGAACAGAUUGCCCAGUGAUAUCGUUGAUGCCCCAUCCCUGGAGACUUUAAAGGCGAGACUGGAUCAGUCUCUGGGCAAUCCGAUCUAGCUGUGCAUGUCCCUGUUCAUUGCAGGGGAGCUGGGCUAGAUGAUUUUAAUGGUCCCUUCCAACUCUAAGGAAUCUAUGAUUCUAUAAUACUUCACAGCUAUGAGAAGUAUUACAAAGGAAGCUAAAAUAGAUAAAGGUAGAAGGAUUCUGAAACAGUAAAAUUUGUGCAUGUACUCUGUAGAAACAGAAGUACAGCUUGAUCAUGCUUUUGGAGGUUGUGUUUCAAGUCUGGAAGUAAUUCCCUUUGGAAUUACAAAUUAUGCCAUGUUUUUACUUCAGGUUACUGAAUGUGGCAUUAUCUUCAUAAUCUGUUGCUAAUCAAACCACUAAGAGUAUACCCAUUUAUUACUUUCUAUCUAUACUCAGUACUUCCAGCCUUUAAAAAAAAAAAAAAGAAAAUUUGAAUGAGUGCAAACAGAUCUUCAAAAAUCAGUUGAGGACUACAAAAAUUAUUUCUGAGUAUUAAAAAAAAAUCAGCUAUUUUAAUGUUAAAAAAAGAAAGAAAAACUAUGAGACUUUUUAACCAAAUCUUAAUAGCUCCAUGAGAAGAAAAUAUAGCCAGAAAGGUAAGAGAAUGAAACAAGCAAAACCUGAAGCCAAAGCCAAUGACAUUCAAAAUAAAGGGAUAGUCAUGUUAACAGCUGGAGAUUACUAUCUCUGAAAUGACAGAUGACUCUUCUACUGUCUCCUAGUCAUAACUAAUUCACAGAUAAGAAGGCACGAUCCGUCUACAAACGAGGUAUUAAAUGGAAUUAUAGCUAAAAUGCCACCUUGCUCCCAUUUAGAGACAGGGGAAGAAGGAAAGGCAGCAGGCAGAACAAUGACAGGAACCCUAGAGUGUAAAAUACAGGAAAGGCAGCACCAGCAUGAGAUGAGGAUGGACAAGAGGCUUAUUCCAGUCAUGCAGAGUCUUUACCAUUUUCUUAUUUGAUUUUCAGCUAUGAAAAGAUCAGAAAACUUAGCUCAGUUGUAAAUUACGGGAUUUAUCAUAAAUUGUAGGAACUAAUUUAAGGGUAACUGUAUGAAGAUGAAUGGUAUGUCAUAUACAGCAUAUCAGACUGUAAAAUUAAAGCUUAAUGCUUUUUAAUUGCCUUAAACCUUACGUGUCAUUAAGUGAAUAGGCUGCAUAUAAAGAAUUCCUCUCACUCAAAUGUACAAAAGGCCACUGUUUCUUUAUAACUGGAAGGGAUAGAAAAAUUAACUAACAGUCUUGAGAAGACUUUGUGAUUGAGAAGACUAUUGAAAAUGUCUUAGCAUUUAAAAAUAAAAUGCACAAACACACAAACCAGCUUCCACACCCCCACACCAAAAAAAAAAAAAAGAAAAACCAAAAUACAUGUCACAUCCAGUCACUUGCAGUUACAAAUUACAGAUGAUUUAGACAUUUUCAGACAUCUCUGUUGCCCUACCCAAUUUACAGGAAGUGCUGGCUAGCUUCUCAAUUCAUGAACCUUCUGCUAAAGUUAUUGCAAAAAAGGAGCAAACUGUGCAGCAGCUGCUUUAUGGUUUCAGAUGCAUGUUACAUUACUCAUGCCUUCAGGAAUUAUUCCACUUGAGAGUCCACAUUAGGCCACCAGUACAGCUCUUAAAGCUCCUCCUUAGCUCUGCCAAUACUUUUCUGACACUCAUGAGGUAAAGUUAUUAACUGUGAAGGUCGCUUGUGAGGAAUCAUUAUUCCAACUCACAACAGAGUCUUUCCAUACACUGAACUUUUCUCUUAAAUUAAAUAGGAUUGUAAUUUUAAUUCCAUCUGUUUCUUAGGUCAAACUCAAGAGUUGUCACAGUAGAAAGUAUGAAAUUAAUCAUCUAAGACUACACUAUAUUGUCAGGAGGAAAAUAAUUUUCUGAAACUGUUCAAAAGCAUUUGGUUAAGAUGUUUCACUGUGUGAUACUGGGGUGGUGUUCAUACAUUUUUCUGCACCUCCUUGCCUUUCUGUUUCACUUGGAACAUCUUUUUUCUUUGCAGAACAGAAUGAAGGGCUAAUAACAGUGCAAAAAUAAAUAAGCACUUCAACUCAGGCACUCAUCUUUAACUCAUAUUUCUUACUAGCGAGAUAGAAAGUAAUAAGGAAUUGUGUGUUUAAAAUAUGUUUAUUUUGAUCAACUAAGGCAAUUUUAAAGUUAGCAGUGUUUGGUAUGUUAGUAUAUUUCCUGAAUCCCACAGCAUAAAACGGUAUAAAUCAGUAACAAAUACAUGUAUGAUUUUUUUAUGCCUCAAGUAGAAUUUGAAGAAAAGAUCAUAAGGAACUGGCAAUUAAAAUGCUUUGUUAAACUACAGAAACUACAGACAGUUCCAGUAGAAAUUACACUCAGGAAUUCUAAAUUUAAAUGUAGAAGUUAUACAGUGAUAUUGUAUAAUUAUGUGGAUAUGACAGGAGGGUGAACCAGACCAGAAUUAAAGCUGUUUUGUCUGAUAGUGCCCUCUAGAGAUUGAUAGAUAAAAUAUUUGCAGAAACUUAAAUGCUACGGAAGAAAAAAAUGAUUUUACCUGCUCUUCUCCACAGAACAAGAAAAAAAAAAGUCUUGGGAAUUGCUUUGAAAUGAAGCUAAUCUGUUCCUUCAAGAGAACUUGGAUAUGAAUCAACACAUAUGCUUGGGGAUAUCUAGUGGAUCAGGGAUCUGAGCACGCUGGGGCAACUAAUUCAUCUGGCAGCAAGAACAUAGCUGUUGUGCAAAAGGAGGAAAGUAGAGAGAAAUAGGCAUGAAACAUAAUUCAAGAGUUAAGCUGCAUCUGAUGUGACCUAAAUACUUCCUGGGUCUGAGGAAAUUAGAAAGAGUUAAGACAGACCACAACAUUAUUAAAUUAAACAGUAGAAAUAUGCAUAUAAAAUAUAAACAACGGAAGAAGACUUAGAACAAGAACAGAUGAAACAUUAAAAGUUAUAAAAUAAUCAGCAUGUAAGUAGUUUCAAUAUUGCAAAUGAAAGCCACUGGAAGUAACAGGAAAAAAAAAAAAAACACAAAAAACACAGACAAACAUAAUUUCAAACCUGUGGUGAAAUGUGACAUCUGAUAAAAUAGGCAAACUUUGCCACCAGAUAUCUCAGUUCAUACUGUAGAUGGUGCUGCAGCAUAAAAUAUGCAGCAGUGACGACUUAAAACCACCUAGCUACACUUAUAAUUAUGUGUACAGGAUUAAUGCACAAAUUGUUGUGAGCAGCCAUGUAAACGUGUUGCAAUUUAUGUGUGAUUCAUAUUUGAGCAUAGGAUUGUUAAGAAGAACCAGAAAUACUUAUUGGCAGGGGAGACACCAUGAUCAGGUGAGUGGUUUUCCCAGGGUGAGGCUUAUCCCAAGCACUUAGUGUGAGCCAACACCUGUGAUUUCCCCAAAUGCAGGAAAGUCAACCAUGGGAGUGCUAAUUUUUCUUUUUUUUUCUUUCUUUUUUUUUUUUUUUCAUUCUAGGGAAUUGGCUGAUGUAGUCACCAAGCCACUCCUGAUGAAAUUUGAAAAGUCGUGGUGGUCAGGUGAAGUCUCUGGUAACUGGAAAAAAAGGCAAUAUCACACUCAUUUUUAAGAAAGGUAGAAAGAAUGGCCCAGAUAUUUCCAUGUUGUUUUUUUUUGUUUGUUUGUUUGUUUCUUUGUUUUAUACUGACUUCUUCCUUCAUUGGGAAUAAAUGUGAAUAAAUUUUCUCCACUCUGGGAAAAGACAUCACUAAAACCAUCUUCAGUGCAUAUGGCACAAGAAAUUCUUAUUCCAGUGAAGCCUCAAAGGACAUAAAGUUACCAUGCCCUGCUUCACACUGAAAAAUAGCCUGUGUUCACUAAGGAGAAAUGAGUGUCUGGCUGAAGUAGCUGUACACCAAAACCUGGAGUUGGCCUCAGGGCCAUGAGCAUCUCCAGCAGUAGGGCAGGAGUGGAGGAGGGCACAGCAUUUCUCUGUUACUGCCCAAGUUCCAACAGCCCUAUCUCCCAUCCUACAGCAUCUUGGGGACUUCAUGUUUUGGGAUUUGUCAGUUCUAUUGUCUGUGCUACCUGUUAAGGAGUUAAAACGCUUUGCUUGUCCCUUUCUGUUGGCUAAUGCCAAUACUUUUUUUACAAACUGUAGUAAUAAAAACUAAACAAACACAAGCCUCUAUCUUCUACUUCUCUUUGUUUCAGUGGUGACUCAAAUGGAGUCAUGGCAGUAGCAGAAGCUACUGAAUUUUGGUAUAGAAUGCGAGAGGCUCUCUACGGUGUCAGUAACAGCAGUCUGAGUGAUUGCUGCUGGCAGUCUGGAUGAAAAGCUCUUCUACAGCGCUCCAAGCCAGUUCUCCAGCUGACACAGUUCAUCCGAUCUUCCUAGAACAGGGGCUAGUGCUGGGGAACGAGUGAGUUCCUGUUCCUGGAGCCAUAACAGAAGUUUGAGUGCUGCAGCUAAACUGAACAGUACACAAUCAACCUGAAUAUAUCUGUCCUAAAAAGAAAAUGGCUCGGUGAAUCUUCAGCUCUAACGGGAAAGAUAUGAAGAAGAAAAUGCCUGUUCUGGCUUCAAAAACUCUCUCUCAUCUCUGCUUGACAGAUGCAGUCAUGUCUGUGGGCUGAGCUCAACAAGAGAGCAUUUCAAUUGCAUGCAGUAAUAUUUCCCCUAACAGCUUAUUCACUUAGAGCAGCUCCCAUGAUGUGCAACUCCAUCCAUAGUAUAUUCAUUUAGUUUUCAAAUGUAACAGAACUUGCUUUACAUUUGCAUGCAUUUGAAUUUCAAUGUUGACAUGAAAAAUACUGGAACUAGUUAUAAAAGAACAGACGUAUUUGCCCACUUACCUUUUUUAUGACUAAGAAAUCCCAUUGAGAAACUGCAGUGAUUGGCAGCUUCUGAUAGUUACUUAAAAAGAGAUUAAGGUACUUCGGCUGGGGCCAACUUAUAGCCUUCUGCAGGCAAUCAAAAUUCCCAUGAAAUCAUUAAGACCAGUAAAGAGGCUUACUUCCCUCCCAUUUACCUCAAAAUCUACAGUUCCCAGCUGUAUCUUUACAACUCUCACAAACUAUUCUCAGCAAAAUGGGCACUUCCCUGUGCUCCUCAGAUGCUUUCUGACAGGUGCAUUAAAUACCGAUUCUCACUUCCGUAGACCAGGCACUAAAAAUGGAUCUCUGUCUGUAGAGGGAGAAUAUUGGUGAGAAACUGGAGAGUUGUCAAACUCAUACAGGAACAGUCAACAUGUUAUGCACCAUGCAAAGGUGUAUAUGAAAACUGUAUAUGUAAAGUUGGAACACAUUGUCCAGAGGGAUUCCAUAAUGUUCAUCUUCAGAGGUUUAUAGACUUGCUUAGAUAAAGCCUUCAGAGGUCUGACCUUGUUUUCAGCAUGUGUUGUGUUAGAGGCCUUUUGAGAUCCCUUCUGACAUAAAUGAUUGCCUAAAUGGUGCUUCAGUUGGAUAAUUUAUUACAGUGGUACGUUUUACUUUGAAAUUUCAGUGGAAAUUCUCCAUAGAUUGCCAUGUCUGCUUCUUUUUCUUUUCAAAAACUGUAGCAAUUUCUCUUACAUGAAUUACUUUUGUUUCCUUCCCCACUUGAUAUGCUUUUCAUUUAGGGUCAAAGAAACUUCUACCUUUUAUCCCAAUAUUGUGGUACUUUGUGGCAAUACAAAUUUCAGCUAGACUCUCCCAGGUACUCCUCCCUCCUCCUUCUCCUAUCACUUUAUCUCUAACAUUUUCAAAUCUUGUGACAUGAUCAAACUCAUUCAUAAAUAUACCUGGCCUCUAAAUCAGUAGAUGUCAUUGUUCACUGUAGCCUUUACACGUGAUCUGCUAGAAUCAGUGGGAGUAGCUAAAAAAAAUCUUCUUUUUUCUUUUUUCCUCCUCAAGGUUUCUUAUAGUUAUUAAUGCUGUUGUGAAAGAGCCUGCAAGACUCGUUUCUAUCUUACGCACAUGAAUCUUUCUUAUGCUAUAUUUCUGCGUUAGUGGGGCAAAAGUCUUUUCUCUGCCAUACUAUGGAGAUUGUCAUAAAAUGAUGGUGAUUUAUUUUUCAUGCUACUGCUCAUCAAGCAAACAAUCAUUUACAUGAAAAUUUACAAAUGUCUUCCAUGAAGUCACCCCAGGGCUUCACCAAAAUCACUACCAAUCAGUGACAGUAAAAUAAUAAUGUAAAUUACAUGAGGAGACUUUUCAUAUAUGUUACAAAACUUCACACAGACAGUGAAGAUGCAUGGUCUCUAGUGCUCCUCUUUUCAUUCUUGCUCCACUAUAUUACUGCCUUAAAUAAUGGAGAACCAUCACUGUAUAAGCUCUCCAGCAGGCAGCCAACAUCUGCCCAGCUAAAUAGAGCUCAAUCCAGGGACUCCUAAUCUGUUAGCUUAGAAUACAUGCUGGACAGAUGUGAUCUAGAUAGAACUUCUACAUAGAAAAUGUAUUAUAGAUAUGAAUAGUAAAUUAUGUUGGCUUAAUAAACAAUUAUUAAAAAUAUCUUUACAGAGUCAGUGAAUGGCUUUUUGUUUGCAGUGCUCACAUGGUGAAGCAAACUGGAAAUUCUGUGACUGCUUGAACAAUCUUUCAGAAAAAUAUAAUAGAUUAUUCCUGGAAAGGAUUAUUAGAGUCCACAGGACAGCCUGUCUCAGUUAUUCAGAAUGACAUUUUAGUCUCACUGAGACCAAGAGCAGAAUUUCUUGUGACUGCAAAGUUUUUUUUAAAAUAUUAGAUUUACACUUCUGCUUUUCAAUUUCCCAAGGAUCUACACACUGCUAUGUUGACCAUGCCAAAGAUAGGCUGGAAGGGAGAUGAGGACUGAGUGUAGUUGCCAAGUUUAGAUGGAUUUCAGCAUUAACAAUGCACAUCACCUUAUUAAGUUUGUGGCAAGGUUUUGCUAGCAGGGGACUGCAGGAGUGGCUUCUGUGAGCAGAACUCAGCGCUUCCCCAUGUCAGAGCACAGCAGCUGCUCCAGCAGGUACCUGCCACUGCUAGAGCUUUCAUGAGUGAUGCUGGGUCUACUCAGGGAGAGCAGAUUUAAGAAAGGGAAACACUGCUGCAUUACAGCAAGUGGGAGAGAGGAGUGAGAAAUGGGAGAGAAGCAGCCCUGGAGCCACCAAGGUCAAUGUAGGAGGGCAGGCUGUGCUCCAGGUGCAGAGCAGAAGCUCCCUAGACAGGCCUGUGGUAGACCAGACUGUCCCCCUGCAGCCCAUGGACACCAUAUGGAGCAAAUCUCUGCAUGCAACCAUGGAGGAGACCACAAGCAGUAGAAGAUGGGGGUCUGAAUGAACCACAGCCCACAGGUACCCCUCUAGGAGAAGCUCCAGAAUGGAGCAGCAGCCUGUGGAGAGCAGCCCAUAGUGGGACAGUGCAGUUCUGAAGGAUUGGCCCCACGCUAUGGAGCUGGAGCCAUGUUGGUGCUGUGCUUGAAGAGCUACAGGAAGCCCACGCAGGAUCAGUUUGGAGGGAACCCACUCUAGAAUAGAAGCAGAGAGUGACCGUGAAGGAGUGGCAGGGAUGAAGUGUUAUGGGCUGACUGCAGCCCCCACUCCCCUGCACAACUUGAGGGGAGGAGGUAGAAGAGGAUGGAUGGGGGAAGAUGUUUUUAAUGUGCUUGUAGUUUCUCACUGCUCUAGUCUGUUAUCAACUGGCAAUAAUAAUUACAUUAGUCUCCCUAUGCCAAAUCUUUUUUGACUGUGAUGACAAUUGAUGAGGAAUCUACAGGUCCUUAUCUCAACCCAUGAGCUUAUUAUUAUCAUAUUACCUCCCCGUAUCAUUUUGAAGGAGAGAGAAAGCAGCAUGGUGGAGCUUACCUAUCAGUGCUAAACCACCUCUAAUUCACAUACAGAUACAUGAGAAAGGGAAGGUAAUGCCAUGCAGGACACACACAAAAAAAGUGGAUGUAACUCAGUCCUGAGCAAGAUUGCAACUUGAAUGCAUGCUCUCAUUCCAAACUUGUUUUAGACUCUAAGAAAGGUCCAUAAUAUUGAAGAGAGUUUAAAUCUUGGAGGCUGAUUUCCUGGUUCCCAGGGCUUUCUUUUUGGUGAACUACAUAGCCUCUUAUCCCAAAACUCUACAGCAGGGGGGUGGAAAUAAACCAAGCUAGAAUAUGAAAAUAAUACUUUUUGCUAUAUAAAAAGACAAACAAAUUCAUAAAGGGAUAAAGUUCUUUAUCUUAGAAUUCAGAUUUGAAGCAAUCUAUCUCACGCACGGCUGGAAAGGGUACUUGGCAACUCAGCAUUAUAUAGGAGAAUGCAAACUGAUAUGGAUGUAAUGCUAUAACUUGAAGGACAGUGCAACAAUAAUUACAGCUGAACAAUCCUAGGCUACAGCAAAUGAGAACAAGCCCAAAUACAUCAGCCAUAGACACACAAAUAGAUGAAGAAAACCACUUACCUUUAGAAGACCUCCAGUAGACAAGGAUCCCCAGUAAAAUGUACUUAUCUCCACUGCCAACACUUAAAUGAGGUCUGGAAAGGGGAGGAUCCUGGCUCCACCCCUUCCCUUCACUCAGAUUCAUUGCACGCACCUGCCUUCUUACCAGGUGCUCAAUCACUGGCUCAGGGUUAGCAUUUCUGCUACGUAUGAUCAAAAAAUGUAUGGAUAAUUCUUAAUAUAAACAUAGUCUGCAUACCAAGAUAAAUCGUUUUUUACCCUACCUACUCUUCUCCAUAGGAGUCCUGGGCUGCAUCUGCUUGUUCAGCUUUCUUUGGGCUUGAGGCUACUUGUUUUGCUGCAAAUUAUACCACCUUAUUUUUCAGCUCUACUUGUAUGAUCGAGAAAGGUUAAUGAUCUGACUAAAUUUGGGCAUAUUAAAAAAUGUCUUAAAGUGUGCUUCUUGCUAUCAUUUUCAUGUCUCUGCUCUAAAACACAGAUAGUUAUAAAGAAUAGUUGUCACAUUUCGUAAUUUACUUUUGAAAGAAACUAAUUUCAAUUCUCUUUCCAUUUAGAAAAAGAGAACAUCUUCAGGUGAAAAUUUUGAGACAAAAAGUUCACACUCAGGACAAACCCUGCUUAGUUCAUAGUGGGACAAAAUAAUUAGGAAGCAUAGAUCAUGGUAACCUAGGGGAAUCUCAGUGGCGUACCAUAUAUUUUCAUGAUUUGGAGCGUUUGACACCUUAAUUUCAUUUGAAGUAACUCCAUAACCAUGUUAACUCAGGACUGUAGAAUCAAAAAUGUUGCCAUCUGGCAAGCUUCCUGCUCAUAGUAAAACUACUGCCAACAGAGGAGCAAGUUUGCCAGGGCUUUGAGUCUUGAAGACCUCCAAGGAUAGAGACACAUGACCUGUCUGAAGUACCUGUUCAAAUCGUGAACUAUUCCAUUAGGAAAAGAAAGAUUUUCCUUAGGUCCUUAGCUAUUAGUUUGCAGUAAAUGUGGUGAGGAUAUAGUGCCCAUGCAGGGAGUCUCUGCACCCUUGGUUGUAGAACUUCACAUUCUGUGUUCAGUAUCAGAAAAUUUCUGUUGUUUCGGUCUUUAGACUUAUCAAGGUCCACCUGGACUGAAACUCUGCUGUUUAUUGUGUCACCUCUAAUUUGUUAUCCACACAUUUGCUGAACAUGUAUUUCAUGUCACUUAUGUUACUUAUAAUGAACAUAAAUGCUUUGCUGGUAUUAACGCUUGCUUUAUUGGUGUAAUGGAACGUACAUUUCAAUCUGUAAGUUUUGUAACAAAUUCAUAUUUUGAAUUCUGGAAGGUGAAUCUGUAACAUGCUAUGCAGCUUUUGCAAGCAAGGCAAAUAAAGAAACAAAACAAAUGCUUUUGUCUAUGUUCUGCUGUGUAAAAAUACCAAGUCAUUCAGAGUUCAACCAAGUAUUUCUUUGCUACAAGCAGACUUUAGUAUCUACAGAAUAUGUAAUUGAUUCUUCUUAGUGAUAGGGACAAGAAUUGAAGAC